UAGUCACAUACACAAUGUCCCAGGA
rnacentral:misc_RNA from 1 species